UUCGGCCUCCCCUCCCUCCCAGCGAGGUCGAUGGGGUCUCUGGUGCCUCCGGCAACCUCGCGGGAGGGAGGGGAGGCUGAA
rnacentral:pre_miRNA from 1 species